rnacentral:tRNA from 1 species
GUGAAAUUAGUUUAUAGAAAAUAUUAAGUUGUGGGCUUAAAGAAAAAGUUAGUUUUAUUUCACU